AGAGUUUGAUCCUGGCUCAGGACGAACGCUGGCGGCGUGCUUAACACAUGCAAGUCGAACGAAGUAGCAAUACUUAGUGGCGAACGGGUGCGUAACACGUGACUAACUUGCCUUAGACUGUGGAAUAACGGAGGGAAACUUCCGCUAAUACCGCAUGUUGAGCUUGGAUGGCAUCAUCUGGGCUUGAAAGAUUUAUUGGUCUAAGAUAGGGUCGCGGCCUAUUAGCUUGUUGGUGAGGUAAUGGCUCACCAAGGCGACGAUGGGUAGCUGGUCUGAGAGGAUGAUCAGCCACACUGGGACUGAGAUAUGGCCCAGACUCCUACGGGAGGCAGCAGUGAGGAAUAUUGCGCAAUGGACGAAAGUCUGACGCAGCAACGCCGCGUGAAGGAUGAAGGUGCUCUGCAUUGUAAACUUCUGUAGGGAGGGAAGAAUGACCUGCUAUUGGUGGGUUUGACGGUACCUCCAAAGUAAGCACCGGCUAAUUCCGUGCCAGCAGCCGCGGUAAUACGGAAGGUGCAAGCGUUGUCCGGAUUGACUGGGUGUAAAGGGCGCGUAGGCGGAGAUGUGUGUCGGGAGUGAAAUCGUGCGGCUUAACCGUACAAUUGCUUUCGAAACUACAUCCCUUGAGUACAGAAGGGGUUGAUGGAAUACCUGGUGUAGCGGUGGAAUGCGUAGAUAUCAGGUAGAACACCGGAGGCGAAGGCGGUCAACUGGUCUGUAACUGACGCUGAGGCGCGAAAGUGUGGGGAGCAAACAGGAUUAGAUACCCUGGUAGUCC
rnacentral:rRNA from 1 species